rnacentral:rRNA from 1 species
UCGAGAAUCAUUCGCAAUGGGCGCAAGCCUGACGAUGCGACGCCGCGUGGAGGACGAAGGCUCUCGGGUCGUAAACUCCUGUCAUGGGUUAAGAAAUGUCGGCGGGUGAACAAUCCGUCGGCUUGACGAAGGCCCAAGAGGAAGCCACGGCUAACUUCGUGCCAGCAGCCGCGGUAAUACGAAGGUGGCAAGCGUUGUUCGGAAUCACUGGGCAUAAAGGGUGCGUAGGCGGAGCGGCAAGUCGAUGGUGAAAGCCCCCGGCUCAACCGGGGAAGUGCUGUCGAAACUGCCGUUCUCGAGGACAGGAGGGGAGAGUGGAACUCUUGGUGGAGCGGUGAAAUGCGUUGAUAUCAAGAGGAACGCCGGCGGCGAAAGCGGCUCUCUGGCCUGUUUCUGACGCUCAUGCACGAAAGCCAGGGGAGCAAACG